GGCGGGGCGGUUACUAACGCUUUAGCAAGCCGCGAAGAUAGGGGGCGGGGAAGGAGGACGUGUACCCCUCCCUCAUUCACUGCACCACCGCGAGGGAGAGUGGGGGGCUACAAGGGGGCGGAGAGAAGAGUCCAGACGUCCCACAUCCUGAGGGCGAGUUACGGCCUCGUGGAGGGCAGCAAAAGUAAUUGCAUGGGUCAGGAAAAUCUCGAUGUCGGAAAACGGUACAGAUAUUUACGUGAACUCAUUACCUUCCCACCCCCAUCCCAUCCCAUCGACUCUGUGCCGUAUCCUGAACCGGCUGACAGAACAAUGGUGCAGACUUGACUUGUGUUCGCCAACCUGGAAUGAAGCAAAGUUCUUGGGCACCCAAGAUAGUGAGGGUGUUGACAUUGAGAGUGUGUUGGAUUGGAGUUAGAAGUGUUUAUUCCUCUCACUACUGGAACCAGAAAGGAACUAAGGAUCCGGCAAGCACUAAAAAGACCAAGGUCAGGCAGGCCAGGGGCCAGGAAUAAACCCUCCACCGCAGAUCAUCUUUGCCACAGGUAUAUAAGUUUCCAGCUGUUAAAUGACUAGCCGGAAUGCACCUUGCUAAACAGAGAACGUCUUCACUGUCCCAUUUUCCCCAAAUCAUGACUUCAAACACCUGAUGGGCAGCACUGAGCUCUGGAAUCAGGCAAACCUGAAAAAAAAAGCAAUUCCACCACUUUUCAGCUUUGUUACGUGCAGACCGGUUAAUCUGUCCUCAGUUUCCCCACUUUUAAAUUGGGGAUCCAACCAUGCCCGCCCCACAAGGUUGUUAGCGGCGGCGGGAGAAUAAAAGAACAAGGAAAGCCCUUGCGCGGAGCCCGACACACAGCCCACAGCACGCCGCCAGCUCCGACUAGGAGAACCGGUUCCCGACCGGCGAGCGCGGCAGGGCGCCUGCGCCACCGCAGCCCUGCGCAUGCCCACUGCCUCCCGCCGGCUUCCCCCAGGUGCGCGAGUUCUCAGGCUCGUGGGUUCCGGGACGCCGCGCGCCGCUGCAUGCCCGGCUUCCGGCUCCCACUAUCUGGGCGGGGCGGCCGGCUGCCGCGAGAUGACGUCACCGCGUGGGCGGGCGCGGCGGACUACUUCCUCGCGUGGCCCUGGAAUGUUGGGACUGACCCAGCAGGGUGGUCCAGUCUGUUUCGAUUGCUCUUGAUGGUGAAGCCCCUCGGAGAGCUGCCUUUGGUGGAAACCCUGUUAGGUACCAAGUUUUCCCACUGACCGUCCACGGACGCUAACAAGAGACUCGAGGUGCUGAGAACUUUGGAAACACCUCUCAAGUGAUAUAGACAAUGUGAUGGCUCCAUUCCAUCAAUGAAGCCCUAGCAUAAAAAUGGGGUCCUCACAUUGUUUGAUAAAGCGCUAGGAAUAGAAGUGACACUGUGAAAGUAACUUAUUAGCAAGACCCUUGCUCCCUAAACCCAAUAAAGCAUGAGGUAGUCCUCAAGUGGUGUA